UUUUUAUCCGACCAAGCUCACCAACCAUCAAAGAUUUACAACCCGUUAAUGAUUAUAAAAAAAAAAUACUUUAUUUUGCAAUUGCGAGAAAUUUUCGAAGAGGUGAAGGAAUGAGCUAUUUUUAUAAGAUAUGGCGGGAAUGCUGCCGACGUCGAGGCGAUAAGACACGAUCGGACACUUGCUCGUUGGAAUUUGGGGGAAUAUGAUUUGGGGUUCUCGAAAAUGGAAAAAUAAUUCUGCAUUAUUCGACGAAAAACUGACGGUUCAAUAAAAAACUCUGUCAAAGGAAAUUGUUACUUGA